rnacentral:lncRNA from 10 species
GUGGUGAUGGCAGAGGGCAUGGCAAUGCUGAGGUGGACCAGGCUGGGCACCUGGCCUGACGAUUCUUUUGAUGAAAUGGACAGUACGCUAGCUGUUCAGCAGUAUACGCAACAGAACAUAAGAGUCAAGAUUGCUCCAAUACUGACAAAAAUCUUGAGCCACCUGAAGGCCAAGAUGCAGGUAUAUGGAAGUAUGAACAUUUAAGGUAAUUCUGCCUUGAGCUAAAUGGACUUGCUGUCAAACUUCAGACUGAAUGCCGUCCAGAUACUUGUACUCAAAUGACAGCAACUGAACAAUGGAGUUUUCUUUGUGUGGCUCAUAAAACUCCAAGAGUGUUCUACUACAGACUAUACUAGACACAGACUUGAUGGUGCUGUGUCUUCUGAAAAGCAGUAACUAUUUCCCCAGCAGGGUUAGUAUAAAGGAAUCAUCUAUAGCAAAACUUGGACCAGCAUACUUUAAGAUUUCCAGAAUAUUUUCACAUGCUUUUUUUUUUUUUUUUUCCUAGAUGAUAUUGGAUGAAUAUGAAAACGAAACAUUUUUGUGUCAUUUUGUAUCACUAAGUUUGUGAUAAAAGAAAAUUUGAUGUCCAAGGAUAACCUGAUUGUACCAACUUUAGAAGAGGAAGUUCAGAAUUCAGUUUCUGGAGAAAGUAGCAUG